rnacentral:snRNA from 1 species
UCUUGGAUGAGUUGUCAAAUCUU